rnacentral:rRNA from 1 species
UACAGAGGUCUCAACCGUUGUUCGGAUUCAUUGGGCGUAAAGGGUGCGUAGGCGGUCGCGUAAGUCGGAUGUGAAAUCUCAGGGCUCAACCCUGAAACUGCAUUCGAUACUGCGUGGCUAGGGUACUGGAGAGGAGACUGGAAUUUACGGUGUAGCAGUGAAAUGCGUAGAUAUCGUAAGGAAGACCAGUGGCGAAGGCGGCUCUCUGGGACGGUACUGACGCUGAGACGCGAAAGCGUGGGGAGCGAACAGG